ensembl:lncRNA
UCUGUGAAAAAUGUUAAGCCUCUGCACCUGAUUUCAAUAAUCAACUGAUGACAAGGAGGCCACACUCACACCAGAGACUGCAGUAUCUUUACUCUGGUUCCAAAAAGCUCAGCCAUCCAGCUAAAUGGACAUUCAACAGCCAAAUAGACCUGGUCUGGAGCCCAUCCAGGAAGAGUCAGAGCUUGAGAAUGAAACUGAAGGGAACAGAACAGGAGAAGGAAAUGAGGGCGAUUUUCCAUUUCAAGUAGGUGUGGAGGAAGAGGAUGCGCUGGCAGAAGAUGAGAGCGAUAAAGAUGACGAUGCUGCUCAACUGAGGGUUCUGAGACCUGGGAGGCUGUCUCGUUCCCUGAGCCAGUUUUCAAACCAUCCACACGAAGGAACCGAGAGCUUUUCCGUGUCUGAUGUGAGCACGCUUUCUUUUCAUCUACGUGGUGAAGCUACAACACCAGGACAGCCGAAAUUUACAAAUGUAAGGAGAUCCAAUAGCAGUAAGGUGAAAAUAAAGGUAGGUGUUACUGAGUAUUUACUAUUUGCUUCUAUUUAAAUAAAUAAUAAUAAUUUUUAAAAAUCUGAAAAAAAGACUAGUUUAUUUUUGCUUCAAGGCCUCCAAGAUUAAGUGGCAGAAACCGAGAAGAUCUAAACAGCCAGUCCCGAAGCCAAGGGAACGCUCUAAGAAGAAUUUAAUAGCUGAGGAACCGUUUCCCCCCUGGCUAGCGGAUCUGAUGGUCAGCAUCGAAGAGGCAACAACUCAUCAGCUAGUGAUUGAGUGACAUCUCGUGAGGUGAACGUGAAACAUUUGGGACACACCAACCUGGGACCUCAUUCGUGACAAACUGAACGUUGAACAAAUUCUGCCUAAUGUGCCUUAUUUAAGGAAGCCACUGACAAGAGAGUGAAGUCCAUGUCGUUUGUUGUUAUACGUGAAUAAACAAAAGGCACGAUAGCUGGUUUCAUUACACAAGAGUUCAAUGCUUAGAGAGAACAUGAUGUGUAUAUUUUGUGCAAGAGUUAAUUGUGUCAUUGUGUUAUCUUCAGUUUGGUAUUUGUGCUUCUAUCCCGCUACUGUCUUCGCUGUAUUUUUAUUUUGUGUAUCAAUCCCUUUUUCAACCAGCACUUGCUGCUGUUAGGUUCAAGCUGAACCCGUUUACCGUUUCUUAAGUUACUAGAUUUGGAUGCCAGUGAAGAAUGUAACACGACGAACCAAAGCUCUCUUCAGCAAGCAUAGCAACGUCAAAGCUGACCCCUCCCCUGCUGUGUGGGAGCAACAUGGCUGGUGCACUUUAGUGUACCGUCAGUCAGAGUUGACUCAAAAUAAAUCAAUAAAAUUUAUUUUUCUAUUUUUUAUGAAAAGAAAGUGUUUUCACCCAACCUAUGUAAGCUAAAGUAAAUCUGCAUUAAAAUACAUAUUAAAGUUUCAGUUCAUGCAUAUGCAAACGUAGUAACGCCGUGGUCCUUUUCUUACAUCAUGAUUAUGUUAUUAAAUUAGUAAAAUGUGUGCGAUUCACGCAUAGUCUGCAGUACUUUAAAGAGGCGCUAAUGCAGACUUCUUUUAUAUACUGCUGGGUGUACACAUUUCUAGCAAUUUAAAGGUAUAAAGGUUUCAUUUAAAAGCAUAUUUUUCUCUAGUUAAGAUUAAAAAAAUUUUAAGAUAUUCAAAGACAACAUAUUUUACUUUCCUAUUAAAUGCAAAAUGUACACACACAAUGUGCUCAUUUUUGUUAUUUCUCAUUGUGCCCAUAUCCUCACAUUCAUCAGCAUUUUAUCUCUUUAACUUCAUAUUUUUAUCCCGGGACUGUACACAUAGUUUUGUUAUUAAGACCUGUGUUUUUAGUAAUUGGUCCUGAUGACUGUAUCUGUUUCCAUGGUGAAUAAUUAUUAAAUUAAAAAAAGCAAUUAAAAGUUUGCAGGGUAAAAGCAAGUUCUUCAGUGAAUGAAAAGCACGGGAUCACUGCCUAUUGAAAUUUGUGUCACACAUCGUAUGACUAAAGGUAUGUGGCAUUUGACUUAGGUAUUUAUGACAAAUAUUACAGC